GGAGGCAUAGCCCAGUCUGGUUAGAGCGCUACGUUGACAUCGUAGAGGUCACUGGUUCGAUCCCAGUUGUCUCCA
rnacentral:tRNA from 1 species